rnacentral:misc_RNA from 1 species
UCCCGGUUAACCCGGGCAGUCUCACUAGAGUUCCCACCUUAAAUGUUGGCAACUAGUGAUAAGGGUUGCGCUCGUUGCGGGACUUAACCCAACACCUCACGGCACGAGCUGACGACAGCCAUGCAGCACCUGUGCAGCGGCCCCGAAGGGAGACUCUAUUUCUAGAGCUGUCCACUGCAUGUCAAGACUGGGUAAGGUUCUUCGCGUUGCAUCGAAUUAAACCACAUGCUCCACUGCUUGUGCGGGUCCCCGUCAAUUCUUUUGAGUUUCAGCCUUGCGACUGUACUCCCCAGGCGGUAUACUUAUCGCGUUAGCUUCGGCACAACUGGGGUUGAGUCCAGUUACACCAAGUAUACAUAGUUUACGGCAAGGACUAC